UACGUAGGGUGCAAGCGUUGUCCGGAUUUAUUGGGCGUAAAGAGCUCGUAGGCGGUUUGUCGCGUCGGAUGUGAAAACCCAGGGCUCAACCCUGGGCCUGCAUUCGAUACGGGCAGACUAGAGUAUGGCAGGGGAGACUGGAAUUCCUGGUGUAGCGGUGAAAUGCGCAGAUAUCAGGAGGAACACCGGUGGCGAAGGCGGUUCUCUGGGCCUUACCUGACACUGAGGAGCGAAAGCGUGGGGAGCGAACAGG
rnacentral:rRNA from 1 species